ensembl:rRNA 5S_rRNA 5S ribosomal RNA
GUCUAAGGCCAUACCACCGUAACCGCACCCAGUCUCAUCUGAUCUUGGAGGCGAAGCACUGUUGAGCCUGGUUAGUAGCUGGGUGGGAGGGAAAUGAUGUGGUGCAUAGCCA